rnacentral:rRNA from 1 species
GAUUGGUUACCUUGUUACGACUUCACCCCAGUCACGAACCCCGCCGUGGUAAUCGCCCUCCUUGCGGUUAGGCUAACUACUUCUGGCGAGACCCGCUCCCAUGGUGUGACGGGCGGUGUGUACAAGACCCGGGAACGUAUUCACCGUGACAUGCUGAUCCACGAUUACUAGCGAUUCCGACUUCACGCAGUCGAGUUGCAGACUGCGAUCCGGACUACGACCGGCUUUAUGGGAUUGGCUCCCCCUCGCGGGUUGGCUGCCCUUUGUACCGGCCAUUGUAUGACGUGUGUAGCUCCCACCUAUA